UCCCGUUUAGCUCAGUUGGUAGAGCGCGUCACUAGUAAUGACGAGGUCAGUCGUUCGAGUCGGCUAAUGGGAA
rfam:Dichomitus squalens LYAD-421 SS1 unplaced genomic scaffold DICSQscaffold_6, whole genome shotgun sequence.